ensembl:lncRNA
GGAUUAAGGAUCGUUGCAAAUCUCAAGUGAAAUGGUUGGAUUCUGAAAAGAUGAACAUACUGGGCUGCUUUUCCCUUUAUUUCACAUCAGAGGAUAUUGCAUCUUCUCCCAAAGAGAAGGUAAAAAAAGGGGUUCAUCACUGAAGGUUAAAAAGUAGAAGAAACUGGAGCACAAAUAUUCUGUGUUCUUCCCACUAUAUUGUUGGUUUCUCUUCCUUUUCCUUGCAGCUGUGUGAACUUAUUCGCUUAGGAUGCUUCAAAUCCUUAAAGGAUAAGCCCAAACCCAGCUGGGCUAAAAUGUUUCUGCAAAAAUACAAAGAGUGCUUCCCUGGAGAAGAGUUACAAGAACAUGUGGAUGAGCUCGGGCCUCUGGCUUGUUAUCUUGACGAUGAUUUAGUCUCAAAAGUCAUUGUCGGCAGGAACAGCACUUCAUCAGAAUUACUUCAUCAGUUUGAACACUGUCACAAGCCAACUAUGAGAAAACGGAUGAAGCAGUUUGUCAACCUCCUGCUUUCAAAUGCCAGCAAUGCACUAAAAUUGCAGGACCUGCAUGAGAUUAUGCAUUUUCUGUCUCAGAAACAGAUUUCUGCCCUCCCUGACCACAUCCUUGAUGCGGUUCUCAAAAUCAAGUCUCUAAAGUGGACGCGUGGUCAGGAGUGUCUUUUGGUUAGGAAACAGAAUGCAGACAAGGUAAGCCUGUAGAGCUAGCAUGGCGUUUGUAAUGUUUGCCUUUUAAAUCUAACACCCUCUACAUUCUGCCUCUCUAUAGUGUGAUGAAAUGUCAGUCAAGAACCUAACUGUGCUCCAGUCACUUUUACACGGUUUGCCAGUUUGUAUUUUCAAGAAGUUAAAAGCUGAGGAGUUCCUGGAGGACUUGGAUGCUCAUGAGGGCUGGUGUGAGACAAUGACGAAGGCGCAACUUCAGGCCUUAAUGAAGGAAAUGAUACCUUAUCUGCUGAAGAAAAGGCUUCCAAGGUGUUUGCCUUGUAUUGCAUCCCUUAUCAGCCUUCAGAAUAAAAGCAUCAACUCUUUGGAUGAAGUGGAGAAAAACACCUGGUGCAAAACUCAGGCAGCCUAUUGGGUGAAGAAGACAGAAGGAAAGCUGCCUGUGUUUGAGAAGCUGCGUUCAUCCAUUCAGGGUUUUGGUUGUGAAUGGAUUGAGAAGCUCAACAAAUCUGUUUUACUAGAGUGGGUCAAAGCCAUUACCAAUAACUCACAAUGGCUCUCCAAGUCUCAGGCCAGAUGUUCUGCCAACGCCUUUUUUAAAACAAAGAACGAGAACUACUUUAAAACCAUCACUGAGGAGGAACUUGAAGCAAUCCCCACAUUCAUACUUCUCUUUCUGAGGCAGGAGUUGCCAGACUCUGUGUGUCCUACUUUCAUUGAGAAGAUGGGAAAGGCCGACCUGAGCUUAUUGCCUAAUCGUGAACGAUCUCGUCGUACACUGGCUGACAAAGCUCUGCACUGCGUAGCAAAUGGGAGAAAGCUGUCUGAGCUGACCAAAGAGGACGUGCACAAACUUGGUUCAAUGCUAUGUGACCAGUCUCCUUCCAACUUGAAACUGCUGACAGAAGAAGUCCUCACUGAAACCUUUGAGUUGUUGGCUAACUGCAGUAACAUAUUCAAAGCCCACAUGACAGAGAUGAAGAAGCUGCUCCAGGCAAUUGGCAAUUCUUCUACUUGGACACCUGAGAAGAUGGAGAAAUUUGGCGUUCUCGUUGUAAAAGAUGAUGAAGCCCUUUUCUUGCUGCCUAACAGACCUUGGCUGAAAGAUGUGUUGUAUUUCCUAAGUGAGAAAAUUCCUGCUCCUUCAGAAGCCCUGAAAAAGAAAGUCUUUGAGCUUGUCACCAACAUUUCACUGACUGCAGCAGACUCUGGGGAGGCUGCCCCAGAUGGUCAGGUUAGAGUUGUUCUCACAGAGAAUCUGGUUGAAGAACUGGGACCAAGUAACUGCUACUGGCCAUCGACACAGCUGGACACGAUGACAGUCAGCACUUUUGAAGCCACUGUGGAAACGCUUGGAGAGUGUCCUUCAUACCGUGCAGAUCAGCUGGCUGUGCUCACUAAAAAAGCUAUAGAGGUAAAAUGGAGCUGUUCAGAAAUAUGUUUCAGUCAGGAUUACUUUUGA